rnacentral:rRNA from 1 species
UACCUGCAGCUCGAGUGGUAACCGCUAUUAUUGGGCCUAAAGCGUCCGUAGCCGGUUUGGUAAAUAUCUGGGUAAAUCGUGAGGCUUAACUUCACGAAUUUCGGAUAGACUGCCAGACUUGGGAUCGGGGGAGGUCAGAGGUACUCCAGGGGUAGCGGUGAAAUGUUGUAAUCCUUGGAGGACCACCGGUAGCGAAGGCGUCUGACUAGAACGAGUCCGACGGUGAGGGACGAAGCCCUGGGGCGCAAAACCGGAUUAGAUACCCGGGUAGUCCAGGGUGUAAACGAUGUGGGCUUUGUAUUGGAGGUCCCACGUGGGCGUCCAGUGCAGAAGAGAAGUUGUUAAGCCCACCGCCUGGGAAGUACGGUCGCAAGGCUGAAACUUAAAGGAAUUGGCGGGGGAGCACAGCAACGGGAGGAGCGUGCGGUUU